GUAGGCGGUUUGUUAAGUCCAUUGUGAAAGCCCACGGCUCAAUCGUGGAAGUGCAGCGGAUACUGGCAGACUAGAGUAUAGGAGAGGAGAGCGGAAUUCCUGGUGUAGAGGUGAAAUUCGUAGAUAUCAGGAGGAACAACAGCGGCGAAGGCGGCUCUCUGGACUAUAACUGACGCUGAGGUGCGAAAGUGUGGGUAGCAAACAGGAUUAGAUACCCUGGUAGUCCACACCGUAAACGAUGGAUACUAAGUGUCGGGGGCGCUUGCCCCCUCGGUGCCGUAGCUAACGCGUUAAGUAUCCCGCCUGGGGACUACGGUCGCAAGAUUAAAACCCAAAGAAAUUGACGGGGGCCCGCACAAGCGGUGGAGUAUGUGGUUUAAUUCGAUGCAACGCGAAAAACCUUACCUAGGCUUGACAUCCCGUGCAACCCAGGGAAACUUGGGGUUCUCUUCGGAGACGCGGUGACAGGUGCUGCAUGGCUGUCGUCAGCUCGUGUCGUGAGAUGUUGGGUUAAGUCCCGCAACGAGCGCAACCCUUGUCGUUAGUUGCCAGCAUUCAGUUGGGCACUCUAACGAGACCGCUUGCCGACAAGGCAGAGGAAGGUGGGGAUGACGUCAAGUCCGCAUGGCCCUUACGCCUAGGGCUACACACGUACUACAAUGGCCAGUACAGAGCGUAGCGAGACUGCAAAGUGGAGCUAAUCGCACAAAGCUGGUCUCAGUUCGGAUUGGAGUCUGCAACUCGACUCCAUGAAGCUGGAAUC
rnacentral:rRNA from 1 species